rnacentral:rRNA from 1 species
UGGGAAGUAUUGCACAAUGGGCGCAAGCCUGAUGCAGCCAUGCCGCGUGUAUGAAGAAGGCCUUCGGGUUGUAAAGUACUUUCAGCGAGGAGGAAGGCGUUGUAGUUAAUAACUGCAGCGAUUGACGUUACUCGCAGAAGAAGCACCGGCUAACUCCGUGCCAGCAGCCGCGGUAAUACGGAGGGUGCAAGCGUUAAUCGGAAUUACUGGGCGUAAAGCGCACGCAGGCGGUCUGUCAAGUCGGAUGUGAAAUCCCCGGGCUCAACCUGGGAACUGCAUUCGAAACUGGCAGGCUAGAGUCUUGUAGA